ensembl:snRNA U2 U2 spliceosomal RNA
AUUGCUUCUCAGCCUUUUGGCUAAGAUCAAGUGUAGUAACAGUUCAGUGUUGCCAGUCAUUGACAACUGAAAAAUCAAGGAAAAAUGAACAUCUCUGAAUGUAUAAUAUAAAUCUGUGGAACAGUAUUAUUGGUUUUAUGUGUAGUGCUAUAUGAAAACAGAAACAGGAGAAUUUUUUGCUAGUUUCAAGUAUCA